rnacentral:rRNA from 1 species
GCAAGUCGAACGGUAACAGGAGAAGCUUCUUCUUGCUGACGAGUGGCGCACGGGUGAGUAAUGCAUAGGUAACGUGCCCCUUAGUCUGGGAUAGCCACUGGAAACGGUGAAUAAUACCGGAUACUCCUUCUAGCUUAAUGUUAGUCGGGAAAGUUUUUCGCUAAGGGAUCGGCCUAUGUUGUAUCAGGUAGUUGGUAGGGUAAUGGCCUACCAAGCCUAUGACACAUAGCGGGUCUGAGAGGAUGAUC